GGGGGUGAUCGGUUUCGACUUCGGUGGUUGUUCCAGGGGAAGCGGGCCGAGGGUUGCGGUUGUGACCUCGUAAAUCCUGCGAUCGCAUAAAUACAAGUGCCAAUUCUAAGCGCACUGAGUUCGCUCUCGCUGCCUAAGCGAUAGCGACUCUGUCGGCCUGAGCUCGUCUCCGGCUCAGGUUCCGGCAUCGUUCAGGAGACUUACCGGUCGGAUCAGGCCACGGGGCCCGAUCGGGAAAUUCACGUGGCUGGGCUUGUCAGCGACACGUCUGCGUGAGCGCUGGAGCCGAGUAGAACGUACAGCAGACUGCGCCCGGAGAAGCCCUGUUGCGGUACCGAAGGACGCGGGUUCGAUUCCCGCCACCUCCACCC
rnacentral:tmRNA from 1 species